GUUUAAGUUUAUUAGAUUGAUCAGUAUUGCUGAACUAUGAAAUAUUUUGGGUGCAGUGUAUUUUUUUACAUACAGGUAUAACAGAAUAGCUUUAGUGUUGUUGUUUAUUUAAACUUGAGUAUGACCUUAUACAAAACGCAGCAAGAUAUUAAAAAAACAGUUUUAUUGAUUAAAAAACACACUAUAUCGGAUUAAUAUCGGUAUCGGCAGAUAUCCAAAUUUAUGAUAUCGGUAUCGGUAUCGGACAUAAAAAAGUGGUAUCGUGCCAUCUCUAGAGUAGACUAGGGGCGAGAAGAACAAGGGCGGGAUUUACCCAAACAGCCCUCUCUCCACCUCCCAGGUCACUGACAGGCAGGGGUGCUGGCGUCUUAGUGUCUAUGGGCUGUCACUCACUUUUUUACAGUGGCUCUGAUGAAUCCAGGAAGGUCGUUCAGCAAUUUUGCAGGCUGUUGGUGUGGCCAGGAGGACUUGGUAGGGUCCUUCCCACCUCGGGGAGCUCCACUUUUCCCUCUGGAGCACUUUUAUCAGGAUCCAAUCUCCUGGUUUCAACCUGGAAGAGACUGGAAGAGAAUCAUCUGGCAGUUGAUUGUUCAAAACUAUUUCUUUGUUUUCUAACAGUUUUGUCAUCCAUUCUGCUAGUUUUGUUUCUCUUAUGGAUUUGUCUAUCGGUUCACUUGUAAUGGGUACUCUGCGGGUGAUAUGAGAAGUGAUGUUUUAUACUGAAGCCCAGUGCUUCAGAGACUUUUGAUAUUACUUCAUUUACGAAGUGUGUAGCACAAUAGACAAUUCAAUCAAGACCUUGAGCCAUAAACAGACCUCACGCACAGACAUUGUUUUCAUAACCGGACAAUUUUAGACCUUGUUACUUAAAUCUACAUAAAUAUCCUCUGGGUGACAUAAAACACAUUUUAAGCAGUCAAUUGCUUCUCAUAAAAAUUAUGUAUUGGGAUGUUUGUGUGCAGCAUUUUGCAUGAGCAUAAGCAUUUGCGAGCAAAGCAUUCUUCAUUGCAUAAGCGUGUGUGUGUGCCAUUUCUCCCUCUAUCAACGAGUGCACAUGUGUUCAUGUGUAUAUUUCACUUCAUUCUGAAUCGGUGUAUAUAGAUGUGUGUGUGUUCAUCACUUUCCUGUUCUGGUGUCUUGGGUAAACCACAGCCUGAAGCGUGCCCUGGGGUCCUGCCCUCCUCCUUUUCAGUCCGCUUGCCACCAUUGCUGCUGUUCAAAGUUCAGUUUGUCCUGGUUCUGACCCCAAUUGGGACAGUCCUUUUCUCCAGUGUCCAUGCUCACCGCAGGUGAAAACUGCAUCUUCUUCUGUGUUUUGUCCAUUCGACCUCAGUUGCUCCUCCUGUCUCUGGCACGCCCUUUUUGCUGCCGUGUUGGUCCAUCACUGUUAAUGCAGAAUUGUUAAGGUCAGCAUUCUUUUGCUCGGCCUUACUUGUCAUUCGGCUUGGCAGGCGUCUCGUCACAGCUCUGUCAGCUGAAGCUGUCUGAGAAUUUUCCCCCGUGUAGUGAAACGGGCCUUGGUUUUAACGCUCUCCGUCUCCGCUGCAUAAGAUCGCUUUUCUGCAGCCCUGUUGACAUUUUCAGGAAAUUGUUUUUGUAAGUCCAGCUGCUGCAGCAUUUGGUCAGGGUCACGUCGAAGGUGGUAGAGGGGAGAGCAGGAGUCCAGGUCAGCCUCGGCUUUCAGGGCCGGCAAAGCAGCCUGUAAUUAAACAUAAAGAGAAAAAACAAAACAAAACAAAACAAAAGCAAGCAGAAGUGUAUGAACAGGAAAAUUAUGUUGUGCUGGCUGUGACACAAAGAGAGGGGAGAAACACCGGGCAGGCCCUGUGUCAGCCUUCCCCUUUUUUUUUUUUCCUUUCUUUUCUCUCACGAUGUAAUCAACUGAUAACUCACCAAGUUGACAGGACAACACAGGUAGAUAUUUAAAUUCUUAAAAUCAUGUUUAAAAGCACAAAAAGGAAUUUUCCCUCCGUCAGUAAUCACAUGUGUCGUUCAAUCAGCAGAAAACAUCUCACAAUUUGACUUUUAACCACUAAAGUUGUUGUUUAAUCACUGGUUGGUCAUACCAGUCUCUGUAUUUCCUUUUUGAAGAAGUUAAAUUGUUGUCCUGCAACCCAGAGGGUUUAUUUGUUAGUAAUAGAUAAACUUCAUCAUUUAACAACAGGUGUAUAUUAAUUUUUGCUGCUUUAACCUUGCUGGAAAAUCUUCACGUGUUCAUGAGUGUAAGCUGUUUUUUCAUUGCGUUUGUAGGCAGGUUAAUUUUAACUUUUCCUCAAACAAGGCAUGUCUCUAACAGUUGCCCUUCACUCGCGUGUGCUAAGAAAGGCAAAAGUGCUUGUAGUAGUUGUGAGAUUACAUUACAUUAUACCUGUAAACAAAAUGAGUGAAUCAUGAUACUGCUGUAGGCCACAUCAUACUUCUUGUUUAAUCAGUAUUUAGUUUCAGUUUGCAUCACACCUCCCAAUUGAAAGAAUGUGAAAAUCACCAGGUCUAUGAGAUAGGUUUGUAUUAUCCUAUACUGCUGAUUUACUGUGAGUGAGUUACACUGUUUCAUGACAUUUCAUAACGCUGAGUUAUGAAAAGAGUAUUGUGUUCAGAGAGUAGGGGCCUCCCUCUUUUCUUUUCUUUCUUUUUUUUCUUUGUGAUAGUAAAAAGAACAGAGCACAUGCCACGGGAGCGUCACCCCCACCUUUGGUGGAGGCAGAAAAACAGGGAGCCAAGGUCAUAACUCAGGCUCACAAAGAGUCAGAAAAAAUGUGAAUGCUUAGUUUUGUGGCUGUGGCGCAUUUUGUAUGGCUUCUUUUCUUUUGUUUAGUAGCUUUCUGCCUUCACCUGAUCAGAAGCAUGGGGGAAAAAACUGAGCUCACAGACAGCUUCAUGUUUGAGCUUUAAUAGCUCUGUUUCACUCCCUCUGAUGUGUUCUUAUGCAGCCUCUGCUCUAAAAAAUGUGUAACCUGCUCAUCAGCUUAGCAGUGACCAUAUAUUUAAUUCAGCUUCACAAUUGUGUGGCCUUAGCUGUUAUAUAAAGGGCGUUUAGUUGUUAGUAUAGGUGUGCUCUAUAUCUCAACAAUGUCUCAUCUAGGAUGACAGGUUUUCAAGUAGGUCAAGCGUCUCUAUGCACUUGAUUAGAUUUGGUAUUUUCGUCAUCUCAUAUAUCAUUAUACUGAGUUUGAGCAAACCUUAAGCUUGAUUCAGACUACUUUUAACAAUAGUAUAUUACAAUAUGCUACUAUACUACAAAUAUACAAUCGUCUAUUAUAAUAUUUCAUAUAUAUAUUUUAUUAUGUAUCCAUCGAAGGUGGGGGUGAUCUGCAGUUUCACCCCCACCCAAGCUGGAGACACACUUUCCUUGGCUGAACAAUGACACAGCCAUAAUAUACCUUAUGCAUCUCUCUCUUUUUUCACUUAUAUCUGCUUGGAGGGUUUCUUUUAAUUUAGUCAAUGUGGAGGGGCUACACUUUUUUUUUUCUCUCCCAUGUGGGACAUUUAGUUUACUUUUGGAUUUGUUGCCCAUUUCUAAGUUUGUUUAAUCGAUGCAAUACUUAUAUUUUAUAUUUUAUUUAUACUGCCAACACACACUGUGAGACGCUCUGGUACUAGAGUCAGAGGAGGUUAUUAAGUCAGCCUUCUACCCUGAACUAAAUUCAGGGCGGACUUAAUUUUACGCGUUGACGCGCAACCUUUUCUCUUUCUCACCAUCCAGUACUCACAGGAAAACAAUAGGAGUAGUGCAGGAGCCUAGAGCUCCUAUUCAAUGAAGCACUUACUCCUCAACAAACAUUCAGCAAACAGUUAGCGCGCUUAGAGAAAAUCCUAUUUUUAUUUGACACUCUCGCUUCUCUGGCUACCAACCUUUAUUUUUGUUGCAGAUUGAGCCUCUCAGGGCAUGUUAAUCCGUCUUACACAGGCGAGCGUGAGAUAUACUGGCUACCAACCCUUACUUAUGUUGCGAAACGGGCCCCCACAGGGCAGGUUGUUUCGUCUUACACGGGCGAGCAUAUUACAUAGGACACGUCUGUCCUUUUCCUUUUCGGUCCACACAGGACCCUUCUUUGAGCAGUGUCAAACUAAAAUCGAUUAUUCAACGCAAAGUGUUUCUGGCUGCUUUAUAUUCACCUUCAAUGUUGCGCUGUGUUCUUUUUCCCAGCGUCACCGAGAACCUGGCGUCGUGGACCUGUAUAAGACACUGGCCAGUAGGCGAAUGUACGACUCUGGGCUUUUCCUCGCUUCGCUAGAAACGGUGGUUGCAGUGCAGGUACUCACGACGUCAGGAUCUGGUGGCUCCGUCUGUGAAUAGUUAGAUGAUAUAAUAAUAUCAAUAAACCAUCCGGCUCGAAGGACCAAUUAAAUGUCAGUGGCAAGACAUUUUUAAACAUUGAAAGAAUACAGAAACAGUCAGAGUUUUGUUCAGAGAACUACGUGCGCACGGGUGAGUGAUCGGGUGAUACUCACUCCGAGGCUUUGCAGUCAGCUUUAUUUAUACUUCGUAGCAUUCCCUGUUUUGUCAGGCUGUAACAAACAAUCUGGGCAUGUAUGGGACACAGUGUGUGUGUGUGUGUGUGUGUGAGUGUAUUGUCUAUCUCGAGGAAAACAGAAGCCAGUUGGGUCCUGUUUCCAAGGGUGUCUGCAAGAGACUUUCACAGGAGUCAGCGAAUACUGCAGGGCUCAUGUGUAUGUGUGUGAGAAGAAGCAAAGACAAAACAUAAAGAUAUGUGAACACUAUGUGCUUUCCAAGCCUUUCUUAAC
ensembl:lncRNA